AGUGCCAAAGACUGACUGCCUGUACCCAUAAUUCUCACUGCAAAAAGACCCCUCCACAUCGGGAGAAUUCGCCUACUAAUAAUUAGCCUAUUUCUCUUUCUAGCUCCACUGUGCCUUCUGGACAGCAGGGAAAAAGUACAAGGAUGCUGAACCACGACUGUUUCAGGGAAGAAGGAACACUCAGUCCACUGAAAUUGCCAUUAAGUCCAGAAAUUCCUGACUAAAAAGGACAUUCAAAACUGACCCUGGUGAAGAAACAAAAAAUUAUACACUCGC